GGUGAGUAACACGUGGAUAACCUACCUAUAAGACUGGGAUAACUUCGGGAAACCGGAGCUAAUACCGGAUAAUAUAUUGAACCGCAUGGUUCAAUAGUGAAAGACGGUUUUGCUGUCACUUAUAGAUGGAUCCGCGCCGCAUUAGUUAGUUGGUAAGGUAACGGCUUACCAAGGCAACGAUGCGUAGCCGACCUGAGAGGGUGAUCGGCCACACUGGAACUGAGACACGGUCCAG
rnacentral:rRNA from 1 species